rnacentral:rRNA from 1 species
GUUGAACGCUGGCGGCGUGCCUAACACAUGCAAGUCGAGCGGUAACAGGUGUAGCAAUACACGCUGACGAGCGGCGAACGGGUAGAGUAAUGCUUUGGGAAUCUUCCCAGUAGUGGGAAUAACCAGUCGAAGAUUGGCUAAUACCGCAUACGUCCCUUCUUCGAAAGGAGAGGGGGGAAAGCGGGGGACUCGCCUCUCUUCGGAAGAGAGGCCUCGCGCUAUUGGAUGAGCCAAAGCGGAUUAGCUAGUUGGUGA